UCCUACGGGAGGCAGCAGUGGGGAAUAUUGGACAAUGGGGGCAACCCUGAUCCAGCCAUGCCGCGUGAGUGAAGAAGGCCUUCGGGUUGUAAAGCACUUUCAGCAGGGAGGAAAAGCUGUCGGUUAAUACCCGCCAGUGUUGACGUUACCUGCAGAAGAAGCACCGGCUAACUCCGUGCCAGCAGCCGCGGUAAUA
rnacentral:rRNA from 1 species